AUUGAACGCUGGCGGCAGGCCUAACACAUGCAAGUCGAGCGGAUGAAGGGAGCUUGCUCCUGGAUUCAGCGGCGGACGGGUGAGUAAUGCCUAGGAAUCUGCCUGGUAGUGGGGGAUAACGUCCGGAAACGGGCGCUAAUACCGCAUACGUCCUGAGGGAGAAAGGGGGGGAUCUUCGGACCUCACGCUAUCAGAUGAGCCUAGGUCGGAUUAGCUAGUUGGUGGGGUAAAGGCCUACCAAGGCGACGAUCCGUAACUGGGCUGAGAGGAUGAUCAGUCACACUGGAACUGAGACACGGUCCAGACUCCUACGGGAGGCAGCAGUGGGGAAUAUUGGACAAUGGGCGAAAGCCUGAUCCAGCCAUGCCGCGUGUGUGAAGAAGGUCUUCGGAUUGUAAAGCACUUUAAGUUGGGAGGAAGGGCAGUAAGUUAAUACCUUGCUGUUUUGACGUUACCAACAGAAUAAGCACCGGCUAACUUCGUG
rnacentral:rRNA from 1 species